AUGAUCUAGAGAAUAUUAGCUGAAAUUGGAAUGAUCUAGAGAAUAUUAGCAUGUGCAAGGAUAACAUGCAAAUUCAUGAAGUGUUCCAUAUUUUU
rnacentral:snRNA from 1 species